GUGAACGCUGGCGGUAGGCCUAACCCCUGCAAGUCGCACGGCAGCACAGUAAGUGCUUGCUCUUACGGGUGGCGAGUGGCGGACGGGUGAGGAAUACAUCGGAAUCUACUUUUUCGUGGGGGAUAACGUAGGGAAACUUACGCUAAUACCGCAUACGACCUACGGGUGAAAGCAGGGGAUCUUCGGACCUUGCGCGAUUGAAUGAGCCGAUGUCGGAUUAGCUAGUUGGCGGGGUAAAGGCCCACCAAGGCGACGAUCCGUAGCUGGUCUGAGAGGAUGAUCAGCCACACUGGAACUGAGACACGGUCCAGACUCCUACGGGAGGCAGCAGUGGGGAAUAUUGGAAAAUGGGCGCAAGCCUGAUCCAGCAAUACCGCGUGGGUGAAGAAGGCCUGCGGGUUGUAAAGCCCUUUUGUUGGGAAAGAAAAGCAGCAGGUUAAGACCCCGCUGUUCGGACGGGACCCAAAGAAUAAGCACCGGCUAACUUCGU
rnacentral:rRNA from 1 species